GACGAACGCUGGCGGCGUGCUUAACACAUGCAAGUCGAACGGAAAGGCCCUGCUUUUGUGGGGUGCUCGAGUGGCGAACGGGUGAGUAACACGUGAGUAACCUGCCCUUGACUUUGGGAUAACUUCAGGAAACUGGGGCUAAUACCGGAUAGGAGCUCCUGCUGCAUGGUGGGGGUUGGAAAGUUUCGGCGGUUGGGGAUGGACUCGCGGCUUAUCAGCUUGUUGGUGGGGUAGUGGCUUACCAAGGCUUUGACGGGUAGCCGGCCUGAGAGGGUGACCGGCCACAUUGGGACUGAGAUACGGCCCAGACUCCUACGGGAGGCAGCAGUGGGGAAUAUUGCACAAUGGGCGGAAGCCUGAUGCAGCAACGCCGCGUGCGGGAUGAAGGCCUUCGGGUUGUAAACCGCUGUCGCCUGUGACGAAGCGUGAGUGACGGUAAUGGGUAAAGAAGCACCGGCUAACUACGUG
rnacentral:rRNA from 1 species